UGCCUCCGAUCACAAGCCUUAUUUUUAUUUGAAACGGAGGUAGUAUAUAAAAGGAGAGAGAGGUCCGUCCCCGUCACGGUUCUGGUGCCUGGUUGAACGCAGCACAUCUCUCGCCAACAAAGGAAGGACCGAACGAGGGUGUAGUUAAGGUCCAAAUUUUUUUGAAAUAUGAAGCUGAAAUUGUAAGGAGGGAGGUCUCGCUAAACAAAAGCUAGAGAGACUCAAAGCUGAAUUUAUGCGCCUUCAGGAACUUUCUGCAGAAUGUAAAGCAAAACAUGGUGCAGCUGAGAAGUUUACGGCUGUUAUUGUGGGUAGUUUUGUUGCAGUUUAUGCUUAUCAUAUCUCGCUAGAACAUGCAGACUUACAGGCCCUUAAAGAGGAAAAC